rnacentral:rRNA from 1 species
GCUAAACGCGAAGAACCUUACCUGGGUUUGACAUGCACAGGACGCAUCCAGAGAUGGGUGUUCCCUUGUGGCCUGUGUGCAGGUGGUGCAUGGCUGUCGUCAGCUCGUGUCGUGAGAUGUUGGGUUAAGUCCCGCAACGAGCGCAACCCUUGUCUCAUGUUGCCAGCACGUUAUGGUGGGGACUCGUGAGAGACUGCCGGGGUCAACUCGGAGGAAGUGGGGAUGACGUCAAGUCAUCAUGCCCCUUAUGUCCAGGGCUUCACACAUGCUACAAUGGCCGGUACAAAGGGCUGCGAUCCCGUGAGGGUUAGCGAAUCUUUAAAGCCGGUCUCAGUUCGGAUCGGGGUCUGCAACUCGACCCCGUGAAGUCGGAGUCGCUAGUAAUCGCGAAUCAGAAUGUCGCGGUGAAUACGUUCCCGGGUCUUGUACACA